AGAUGCUAAAUACACAAAUUUAGUCAUGCAUUUACAAUCUAACUUUAAAGCACAUCACUCUGUAAACGUAUAAUCUGGCCUAUAGGGCUAUGGCCUCUUUGGUCCAAUCUGCAGGAGUACUAGUUCCUCAUGAGGUCAUCUCAGAAGUCUUCCCGACUGAUUUUGAUACAAAUGAAGAGCCCAGCCUCACACAAUAGCAGAAAUCAACUGGCAAAUUAUUAAAUAAGAUGCCUUCCUGAGAUUUAUGUCACACCAUUCCUGUAUCUACAGAAUCCUUCAUGUAGAAAUACAGAUUUCUUCAUGUAUUUUAGUACUGUACUUUCAUGCUUAUAUAAAAACUAAGGUGGAGAACAUUUCAGAAGGAGACAUGUGCAGUGUGCAUUAGGUCCUAACUUGUCUGAAGACUUAGACAGUCAGGGAAUGGCCCCAGCUUAAUCAAAACAAGUUUUCUCAUCUCUCUCAAAUAAUUUGAUGUACUUGGGUGGUUGCAGGGACCCCAAGGACUUCAAUGUCUAGCAAAAUCUGAUCAACUCUCCAAAAAGAGUCCUUCAGUACCUCUCAGACUAACUGCAAAUAACUUCCCAUUUAUCCAAACCAGGUGACAAUAUCAAAUCACAUUAUGUUCAUGUGGAAAGUAAUUGAAAGGCAACUCUUUAGUUCUGAAUUCAGAAGUUGGUCAAAAGUCUAACAUUUUCAAAAGCUGUAUCAUUUUGAGAAAGUGAAGAAAAUUGCAUUUUCUAUCUUUCCAAAGAAUCUAACUAUCUUUUAUUGUAUUUUUAAGGUAGCUUGGCUGCUGCUGUGAUGUUGAAGGAACAAAUCAAGGACACAAGGUUGAGAGAUACAAUGUGGCAGAUUUCAAACAGGAGAGCUGCUGAAUUAAACAGAGAAAAAGAACAACAAUCAAAGAGUUGCCACAAUGCAAGAGAUUGCUUUUGGAACUUCCAAAUGGCUCCUUCCUGUAGGACAGUGAGGGAGAAUGAACCCCCAAUCCCAACUGGCACGCACACUGAAGCUUGACAGGUUGUGAACUCUGAAAGCCUUCAGUGGCCAUUGCACUGCAAGUCUCCAUAUUCUAACAAACGAGUAAGUACCUUAGUAUAUGAAAAUAUCCCAAAGAUGACCUUUUUCUCUGGAUUCCACUGCAACCAUCCCCUGCCUUUUCCUAGUGGUUCUCCCAGUGAUCCUUCCAAACCAGAAACAACACACUAUAAGUCAGAAUGGUAUCAGUUACUUCCUACCUUCUUUAUCAUUGGUGCUUCAUUUAGUCACAUUUUCUCUCCUGAUUCUAUCCACCAACAAGCACAAUGUAAAUAACCUGUCAUUAUUCCAAUAACUACAGGGUUCUUUAAUUGCUAUUCCAUAUUUUAUCUUAAACAAAAUGAAUUGAGUUGUAGAGAGAACUGCAUUCAGAAACACUAGCCUAUAGUUAUAAUGUCUCUGGUUUUUAGAAGGAAACAACCAUGCAUGCAUGAACACACACACACACACACACACACACACACACACACACACCAAAAUCAGUUCUGAGAAGCCAUUACUGGGAGGACAAUGAGCUGCUUCAUAUGUUUGUAGUAAGAUUGUCUGGUCUGCUCAAACUCCUUUCAAGACUCCUUCUGCAAAGUAAUUUGUUUGAAACCCAGAGAGAUGCAGAGAUCUGGCUGAUAGGUGAUUACAAGCGUCACAUUACCAAUAUUACUCAAUAUUUUAAAGAACUAUUGCUUUUUAUCUCUGAAUUCAGGUCUGCCAUGGGCUGUUGCUAGAGCUGAUGAGAAUUUGUUCUUGGAUGCAUUUUGGGGAAUGUCUGUAAGCCUUGUGUCUUGUUGAUUCUUUGUUUCUG
rnacentral:lncRNA from 1 species